GUGCUCGCUCGCUUUGGCAGCACAUAUACUAAAAUUGGAACUACACAGAGAUUAGCAUGGCCCCAGGGCAAGGAUGACAAGCAGAUUCAGGAAGUGUUACACAUUAAA